rnacentral:rRNA from 1 species
GACGAACCGUGCGAACGUUGUUCGGAAUCACUGGGCUUAAAGGGCGCGUAGGCGGGCUGUCAAGUCUGGGGUGAAAUCCCACGGCUCAACCGUGGAACUGCCUCGGAUACUGACGGCCUCGAGGGGGGUAGGGGCGUGCGGAACUGUGGGUGGAGCGGUGAAAUGCGUUGAUAUCCACAGGAACUCCGGUGGCGAAGGCGGCACGCUGGACCUUCACUGACGCUGAGGCGCGAAAGCCAGGGGAGCAAACGGG